GGGAAACAGAGUGAUGGUCCUAGAUGUUGCAUUAGUAGUCCUCACUAUUCUGUGAAAUAGUGUGAUAAUAAUUGUAAUGAGGACUCCUUUUGAGUUUGUAUACUCUCUAGUAGAAAUUAUUUGUAUUUAAACUCACAGUUUAUGUUUUGUCGUAUUGUACACGAUAGUUGUAUUAUUAAGUUGUAUUUGUAUUCAGUACCUU
rnacentral:lncRNA from 1 species